rnacentral:tRNA from 1 species
AUUCAAUUAGUAUAAGGAAAGUAUAUUAAGCUUCCAACUUAAAGGAUUAAAACAAUAAAUUGAAUA